GACGUAGGGCGCGAGCGUUGUCCGGAUUUAUUGGGCGUAAAGAGCUCGUAGGCGGCUCGUUGCGUCGGCUGUGAAAACCCGCAGCUCAACUGUGGGCUUGCAGCUGAUACGGGCGGGCUGGAGUUCGGUAGGGGAGACCGGAAUUCCUGGUGUAGCGGUGAAAUGCGCAGAUAUCAGGAGGAACACCGGUGGCGAAGGCGGGUCUCUGGGCCGAUACUGACGCUGAGGAGCGAAAGCGUGGGGAGCGAACAGG
rnacentral:rRNA from 1 species